GACGAACGCUGGCGGCGUGCCUAAUACAUGCAAGUCGAGCGAAGUUUUUCUGGUGCUUGCACUAGAAAAACUUAGCGGCGAACGGGUGAGUAACACGUAAAGAACCUGCCUCAUAGACUGGGACAACUAUUGGAAACGAUAGCUAAUACCGGAUAACAGCAUUAACUGCAUGGUUGAUGUUUAAAAGUUGGUUAUGCUAACACUAUGAGAUGGCUUUGCGGUGCAUUAGCUAGUUGGUGGGGUAAAGGCCUACCAAGGCGACGAUGCAUAGCCGACCUGAGAGGGUGAUCGGCCACACUGGGACUGAGACACGGCCCAGACUCCUACGGGAGGCAGCAGUAGGGAAUCUUCCGCAAUGGGCGAAAGCUUGACGGAGCAACGCCGCGUGAGUGAAGAAGGAUUUCGGUUCGUAAAGCUCUGUUGUUAGGGAAGAAUGAUUGUGUAGUAACUAUACACAGUAGAGACGGUACCUAACCAGAAGGCCACGGCUAACUACGUGCCAGCAGCCGCGGUAAUACGUAGGUGGCAAGCGUUGUCCGGAAUUAUUGGGCGUAAAGCGCGCGCAGGUGGUUUAAUAAGUCUGAUGUGAAAGCCCACGGCUCAACCGUGGAGGGUCAUUGGAAACUGUUAAACUUGAGUGCAGGAGAGAAAAGUGGAAUUCCUAGUGUAGCGGUGAAAUGCGUAGAGAUUAGGAGGAACACCAGUGGCGAAGGCGGCUUUUUGGCCUGUAACUGACACUGAGGCGCGAAAGCGUGNGGAGCAAACAGG
rnacentral:rRNA from 1 species